UACGGAGGGGGCUAGCGUUGUUCGGAAUUACUGGGCGUAAAGCGCGCGUAGGCGGAUUGUUAAGUCGGGGGUGAAAUCCCGUGGCUCAACCCCGGAACUGCCUUCGAUACUGGCAAUCUGGAGUUCGAGAGAGGUGAGUGGAAUUCCGAGUGUAGAGGUGGAAUUCGUAGAUAUUCGGAUGAACACCAGUGGCGAAGGGGGCUCACUUGGUCGAUACUGACGUUUAGGAGCGAAAGCGUGGGGAGCAAACAGG
rnacentral:rRNA from 1 species